rnacentral:rRNA from 1 species
CUUGAUAAUAAUAAGAGAUUUGGCCUGCCCACUGAAAAUUUUUUGAAGGGCCGCAGUAUUUUGACUGUGCAAAGGUAGCAUAAUCAUUAGUCUUUUAAUUAAGGGCUGGUAUGAAUGGUUGGACGAAGUAAAUACUGUUUUAUAUUAAUUGUAAUUGAAUUUAGUAUUUAAGUAAAAAUACUUAAAUAAUUUUAAGGGACGAGAAGACCCUAUAGAGUUUAAUAUUUAUAGUUUUAAUUGAGUUAAAGUGUAAUUUUUGGUUAAUUAUGAAGAAUAUUUGAUUGGGGUGAUAAGAAGAUAAAUUUAACUCUUUUUUGUAGUAAAUAAUUUGUUUAGUUAAAUGAUCCGUUAUUUAGUGAUUAUAAGAUUAAAUUACCUUAGGGAUAACAGCAUAAUUCUUUUUGAGAGUUCAUAUUGAAAAAGGAGAUUGUGACCUCGAUGUUGGAUUAAGAUAAAAUUUGGGUGUAGAAGCUUAAUUAUUAGGUCUGUUCGACCUUUAAAUUCUUAC